AGUGAACGCUGGCGGUAGGCCUAACACAUGCAAGUCGAACGGCAGCACAGUAAGAGCUUGCUCUUACGGGUGGCGAGUGGCGGACGGGUGAGGAAUACAUCGGAAUCUACUUUUUCGUGGGGGAUAACGUAGGGAAACUUACGCUAAUACCGCAUACGACCUACGGGUGAAAGCAGGGGAUCUUCGGACCUUGCGCGAUUGAAUGAGCCGAUGUCGGAUUAGCUGGUUGGCGGGGUAAAGGCCCACCAAGGCGACGAUCCGUAGCUGGUCUGAGAGGAGGAUCAGCCACACGGGAACUGAGACACGGUCCAGACUCCUACGGGAGGCAGCAGUGGGGAAUAUUGGACAAUGGGCGCAAGCCUGAUCCAGCCAUACCGCGUGGGUGAAGAAGGCCUUCGGGUUGUAAAGCCCUUUUGUUGGGAAAGAAAAGCAGCAGGUUAAUACCCCGCUGUUCUGACGGUAGCCAAAGAAUAAGCACCGGCUAACUUCGUG
rnacentral:rRNA from 1 species